rnacentral:rRNA from 1 species
UACGUAGGGUGCGAGCGUUAAUCGGAAUUACUGGGAGUAAAGCGUGCGCAGGCGGUUCGUCGUGUCCGAUGUGAAAGCCCCGGGCUCAACCUGGGAAUGGCAUUGGAAACUGGCGGGCUCGAGUGUGGCAGAGGGGGGUGGAAUUCCGCGUGUAGCAGUGAAAUGCGUAGAUAUCGGAAGGAACACCAGUGGCGAAAGCGGCUUCCUGGUCCAGCACCGACGUUCAGGCACGAAAGCGUGGGGAGCAAACAGG